AUUGAACGCUGGCGGCAUGCCUUACACAUGCAAGUCGAACGGUAACAGGUCUUCGGAUGCUGACGAGUGGCGAACGGGUGAGUAAUACAUCGGAACGUGCCUAGUAGUGGGGGAUAACUACUCGAAAGAGUGGCUAAUACCGCAUGAGAUCUACGGAUGAAAGCAGGGGAUCGCAAGACCUUGUGCUACUAGAGCGGCCGAUGGCAGAUUAGGUAGUUGGUGGGAUAAAAGCUUACUAAGCCGACGAUCUGUAGCUGGUCUGAGAGGACGAUCAGCCACACUGGGACUGAGACACGGCCCAGACUCCUACGGGAGGCAGCAGUGGGGAAUUUUGGACAAUGGGCGCAAGCCUGAUCCAGCAAUGCCGCGUGCAGGAUGAAGGCCUUCGGGUUGUAAACUGCUUUUGUACGGAACGAAAAGCCCUGGGUUAAUACCCUGGGGUCAUGACGGUACCGUAAGAAUAAGCACCGGAUAACUACGUGCCAGCCGCCGCCGUAAUAC
rnacentral:rRNA from 1 species